ACAAUGGUCAUAAGCUGAAGACAGUAAACCAGGUACCAAGAACCAAGCCUAGAUCAAGAGCUGGGAGUCUGGGAUGAAAGCAAGUCACAGCAAGGAGUGGUCCAGUGAAGGUUUUGGCUGAAGGGUCUGGGCUACCUUUGCGUCUAUAACAUUGUCGGGGGCAGCAGAGUCACUCAUGGAUAACUGCAGGGGAACUGACUCGAUCCCUCUAGGCUAUGUAACUGAAGUGAAAUCUGGUGGCAGCUCCAAUCCCUCUGGUAGCUUUGAUUCCUGUGGGAGGAUCCUGCUCCCCAUCCCUCCUAGCAGAGGUAACUAGACAAGGUCCUUCAUGUUUCCAGCUACUUUUACCAGACUCCAGGCUGCUCUUUACACUGAGGAGCAUGAAGGCAUUUAAAAGCAAUCAAAAACAAGGAGAAGCCAGCAUCAUGUCACUUACCAGCUAUUGUAGACUCCCAGGAAAUGAUCUACA